CUAUACUGCAGUCGAACGAACUUCCGUUAAUUGAUUAUGACGUACUUGUACUGAUUGAGAUUUUAACACGAAGUGAGUGGCGAACGGGUGAGUAACACGUGGGUAACCUGCCCAGAAGUAGGGGAUAACACCUGGAAACAGAUGCUAAUACCGUAUAACAGAGAAAACCGCAUGGUUUUCUUUUAAAAGAUGGCUCUGCUAUCACUUCUGGAUGGACCCGCGGCGUAUUAGCUAGUUGGUGAGGUAAAGGCUCACCAAGGCAGUGAUACGUAGCCGACCUGAGAGGGUAAUCGGCCACAUUGGGACUGAGACACGGCCCAGACUCCUACGGGAGGCAGCAGUAGGGAAUCUUCCACAAUGGACGCAAGUCUGAUGGAGCAACGCCGCGUGAGUGAAGAAGGGUUUCGGCUCGUAAAGCUCUGUUGUUAAAGAAGAACGUGGGUAAGAGUAACUGUUUACCCAGUGACGGUAUUUAACCAGAAAGCCACGGCUAACUACGUGCCAGCAGCCGCGGUAAUACGUAGGUGGCAAGCGUUAUCCGGAUUUAUUGGGCGUAAAGCGAGCGCAGGCGGUCUUUUAAGUCUAAUGUGAAAGCCUUCGGCUCAACCGAAGAAGUGCAUUGGAAACUGGGAGACUUGAGUGCAGAAGAGGACAGUGGAACUCCAUGUGUAGCGGUGAAAUGCGUAGAUAUAUGGAAGAACACCAGUGGCGAAGGCGGCUGUCUGGUCUGCAACUGACGCUGAGGCUCGAAAGCAUGGGUAGCGAACAGGAUUAGAUACCCUGGUAGUCCAUGCCGUAAACGAUGAUUACUAAGUGUUGGAGGGUUUCCGCCCUUCAGUGCUGCAGCUAACGCAUUAAGUAAUCCGCCUGGGGAGUACGACCGCAAGGUUGAAACUCAAAGAAUUGACGGGGCCCGCACAAGCGUGGAGCAUGUGGUUUAAUUCGAAGCUACGCGAAGAACCUUACCAGUCUUGACAUCUUCUGACAGUCUAGAGAUAGAGUUCCCUCGGACUGAUGACAGUGAUGCAUGCUAGUCGUCAGCUCUGUCCUGAAUGUGGGUAGUCCCGCACUGGCGCACCGUAUACUGCUGCAGCAUAGUCGGGCAUCUAUGGACUGCGGGACAACCUGAGGAGGUGGGAUACGUCCAAUCCAUGCCUUGACUGACUAACUGCUCAAUUGAAU
rnacentral:rRNA from 1 species